rnacentral:rRNA from 1 species
AUCUACAGCCAAGCCACCCUGAACAAGCCUGAUCUUGUUUGAUCUUGGAAGUUUAGCGGGGUCGGGUCUAGUUAGCACUUGGAUGAGAGACCUCCUAGGAAGACCAGGUACUGUAGGCA